AACGAACGCUAUCGGUAUGCUUAACACAUGCCAGUCGGACGGCCUAAUUAGGGCUUGUUCCUAUUAGUUAGUGGCAGACGGGUGAGUAACACGUGGGAAUCUGCCCAUCAGUAUGGAAUAACUUUUAGAAAUAAAAGCUAAUACCGUAUCUUCUCUCCAGCUGAAAGAUUUAUCGCUGAUGGAUGAGCCCGCGUCCGAUUAGGUAGUUGGUGAGGUAACGGCUCACCAAGCCGACGAUCUGUAGCUGGUCUGUGAGAAUGAUCAGCCACACUGGGACGGAGACACGGCCCAGACUCCUACAGGAGGCAGCAGUGGGGGAUAUUGGAAAAUGGGCGAAAUCCUGAACCAGCAAUGCCUGGUGAGUGAUAAAGGCCCGAGGGAUGUAAAGCACGUUUAGCAAGGAAGAUAAUGACGUUACUUGCAGAAAAAGCCCCGGCUAACUCCGUG
rnacentral:rRNA from 1 species